AUGGACUGCAAUCACCGAGAUCCUCAUCUCCCAGACGCAGGCGGCCAUCAUCAACACGAGGAUCGCCAUCUCACCACCCAGAAGGGGAAUUUCACCAUCGUCGAGUAUCUUGGCCGCAUGAAGGCCCUUGGCGAUGAGAUGGCUGCCAGCGGCAAGCCACUCACCGACGACAACAUGGUGUCGUACAUCCUCGUCGGGCUUGACUUCGACUACAUAUCGUUUGUCCCCUCGAUCUACGCCAGGACAGUCCCCAUCAAGCCGAACAAGCUCUACUCCCAGCUGAUCAGCUUCGAGAGCCGCCUCUCCAUGUUCGAGGGGAACUCAUCGUCGCACUCCUCCGCCAACGCUGCUUCUCGCAGCGGCCGUGGUGGCUUUCCUCGUGGCGGUGGCCGCGGCAGGAACGACGGAGGCCGUGGUCAAGGUGGUGGCCGCGGCAAUGGAGGCAAUGGCGGCGGCCGUGGAAACGGUCAUGGUGGUCGCGACAAUGGAGGCGGCAGCCGUGACGAGCUCCCGGAGGUCUUCUGUCAGAUCUGCAAGAAACCAAAUCAUAUUGUGCUCGAGUGCUAUCGUUGCUUCGACAUCGCCUUCACCAAGGAGAAAAGUGCAAGCGCCGUGUCCAACUCCUCCUACGGUGUUGACACGAACUGGUACGUUGACACAGGCGCCACCGACCACAUCACCGGCGAGCUGGACAAGCUCACCAUGAGGGAGAGGUACAACGGCCACGACCAAGUGAACAUGCCCAACGGGUCAGGUAUGAAAAUAACUCAUAUUUGUCAAGCAUAUGUUCGUACCCCUACUCGCAAUCUUCAUCUUAAGGAUGUCCUUUAUUCUCCUAAAGCCACUAAAAAUCUUGUCUCUGCCCAUCGUUUAUCAUAA
rnacentral:rRNA from 1 species